UGGGGAAUUUUGCACAAUGGGGGAAACCCUGAUGCAGCGACGCCGCGUGAUUUAGAAGGCCUUCGGGUUGUAAAAAUCUUUUUUACGGGAUGAAAAUGACAGUACCGUAAGAAUAAGGUCCGGCUAAAUACGUGCCAGCAGCCGCGGUAAUACGUAUGGACCGAGCGUUGUCCGGAAUCAUUGGGCGUAAAGGGUACGUAGGCGGCCUAGUAAGUUAGAAGUGAAAUAAUAUAGCUCAACUAUAUAAAGCUUUUAAAACUGCUAGGCUUGAGAGAUGGAAGGGAAAGUGGAAUUCCUAGUGUAGCGGUGAAAUGCGCAGAUAUUAGGAAGAAUACCGGUGGCGAAGGCGACUUUCUGGUCAUCAUCUGACGCUGACGUACGAAAGCGUGGGUAGCAAACAGG
rnacentral:rRNA from 1 species